UCGGCGUGUGGAGUCUACAACGACUGAAAGCCAUCCGAGUGAAAUGUCACAUAGUCUUGUCUGGAGAUCAAAGCUCUGAAGUCAUUAGCGUUUCAGUGAAGGAGCAGCUAAGAACAUGCGUGAAGCGGAAGGGGAGGCCUGAGGGCUGAGUUAGCCAGGCCCAGAGAGCCAAAAAUAGGCCCUGAGACCAGGUGACUCAGGGCCAAGCAUUUGCCUCUGUCGUUAACGAGUUCUAAUAUUUGCUCUUCUCAGUUGUGCCCGAUCCCUUUCAAGAGUUCGCAAAAAGGAAGCUUGCGAGGGAGGGUGAGCAGAGAGAGAAGAAGCUAGAAGCGGAGUUGCUGGCAGGUGUACUGUUGGCUGUGAUGCAUUUUUUUCAGCAUUCAUUCUUUUUUUUUUAUUGAACAGACCCACUUAGUUGUUUGUCCUUUUCUGAAUGCAUAUUGACUCCAGACAUCCUGGGAUUUCCGGAACUACUUAGGAAAACUUUCUAGAGAGGAUUUGGACGAGUUGAGCCUCCUUCAAAGCCAGCUGGUGCGCAGGGACCAUGGCAGCAAACGAGGGUCAGCCCCCGGUGGAGUUCUAUUGUACACUUUAUUAUCACUUAGAUAAGUGAACUGAGAACAUGCUAAUUAAAUUUGGAGGGAAUGCUCCACAACUUUAAGAUCUUGUCUAAAAUUAGUAAGGAUCACAAGCUGGAGACGUGAAGACAGACACACACAGAAUGAAACUGGACAGGGAUUCAUGAGAGAUGGUCAUCAUCUAAGAGGAAGAGGAACAAACUGCCUACCAUUACUAUCAAGGAAGCAUUUCCUGACUAUUCGCCAAGCCAGGGGAGACAGAACUACGGUGGAAGAGGUUUAAACGUAGGAAAAGAGCUAACUGUCAGAGAGGAAUUUAACACCCUACGUUAAAAGCAAGACAAGAGAGACACAAACAGUUAUGAAAUAGGCACAUUUUGUAAGUAUAACAGACCUGAAAUAGUCAAUAAAAGCAGAAAUUGUGGGGGUUGGGGGUUCCUCGGCCCUUCUGUCUACUCGAGCAUUGCACAUAACACCUGCGGUGUCGCCUGUUAGUCACUAUCUACAGAGUGGCACGGCUAUCUUCCUCCUUGGCCCUGUAUCUGUUCUGUCUUUCCAAGUGUACCUAUCUGACUCAACACAGGCACUCAGUAAACGUUUGUCAAAUGGAAAAGCAAA